ACUGGAGACUGGCGAACGGGUGAGUAACGCGUAGAUAACCUGCCUUUAACUGGGGGAUAACACUGCGAAAGUGGUGCUAAUACCGCAUAAUGCAGCGGGGCCGCAUGGCCACAGUUGUUAAAGCCUUCGGGCGGUUAGAGAUGGGUCUGCGUGCUAUUAGUUAGUUGGUGAGGUAACGGCUCACCAAGGCGAUGAUAGCUAGGGGGUCUGAGAGGAUGAUCCCCCACAC
rnacentral:rRNA from 1 species